UGUGGGAGCUGGCUUGCCUGCGAUACAGGCACCUCGGUCUGCCAGUGAUACCGAGGUGAUGCAAUCGCAGGCAAGCCAGCUCCUACA
rnacentral:misc_RNA from 1 species